CUGCAGUUAUAUCAAGCAUUGACCUUUAGGCUGCGUUUGGUUCCCAAACUCAGCUGAGUUCAAUUUAACUUUAAGCUGAGUGUAACAUCCAAACAUUCAACUGUCAAAUUACUAAACUCAUCACAACUCAAAACCUUCUUACACUUGAGACCCACAACCUUUUUCAACUUCAAACAUAUUUAUACGUGGGACC